GACGAGGGAUCCUAGCGUUGUUCGGAAUCAUUGGGCGUAAAGCGGGUGUAGGUGGCUCUAUAAGUCAGGUGUGAAAGCCCAGGGCUCAACCCUGGAAGUGCAUUUGAUACUGCAAAGCUUGAGUGCUAGAGAGGUAAGUAGAAUACCUGGUGUAGUGGUGAAAUACGUAGAUAUCAGGUGGAAUACCGGAGGCGAAGGCGGCUUACUGGCUAGACACUGACACUCAGGAACGAAAGCUAGGGGAGCAAACAGG
rnacentral:rRNA from 1 species